rnacentral:rRNA from 1 species
GACGAACGCUGGCGGCGUGCUUAACACAUGCAAGUCGAACGGACAGGCCCUGCUUUUGUGGGGUGCUCGAUUGGCGAAGGGGUGAGUAACACGUGAGUAACCUGCCCUUGACUUUGGGAUAAAUUUAGGAAACUGGGGCUCAUACCGGAUAUGAGCUCCUGCUGCAUGGUGGGGGUUGGAAAGUUUCGGCGGUUGGGGCUGGACUCGCGGCUUAUCAGCUUGUUGGUGGGGUAGUGGCUUACCAAGGCUUUGACGGGUAGCCGGCCUGAGAGGGUGACCGGCCACAUGGGGACUGAGAUACGGCCCAGACUCCUACGGGAGGCAGCAGUGGGGAAUAUUGCACAAUGGGCGGAAGCCUGAUGCAGCAACGCCGCGUGCGGGAUGACGGCCUUCGGGUUGUAAACCGCUUUCGCCUGUGACGAAGCGUGAGUGACGGUAAUGGGUAAAGAAGCACCGGCUAACUACGUG